UACAGAGGGGGCAAGCGUUAUUCGGAAUUAUUGGGCGUAAAGGGCGCGUAGGCGGCCUGGCAAGUGGAAGGUGAAAUCCCUCGGCUUAACCGAGGAACUGCCCUCCAAACUGCUUGGCUUGAGUCCGGGAGAGGUGAGUGGAAUUCCCAGUGUAGCGGUGAAAUGCGUAGAGAUCGGAAAGAACACCAACGGCGAAAGCACUCUGCUGGGCCGACACUGACACUGAGAGACGAAAGCUAGGGGAGCGAAUGGG
rnacentral:rRNA from 1 species